AAAAAUUUCCCUCGUCUCUCUGCUUCUCCUAUUGCAGACCCGUCGGACCUCAUCGGAGCUCCAUUUCCGGCCGCUCUCUCUCUGCUCCUUCAAGCAAAAUUUUGGCAUAAAAAGAAUCUAACUCUGUUGAAUUAUGGUGAAAUCUGCUAAGUCUCACUUUGACGAAGAAGAUGAACCCGACGGUUACGACUCCUCUUCCUACAAAGGUGACGCAGCGAAGAUAGAUGGUAAGAGCAGUGAACAGAAGGUGAGUACGCAUAGGUCCAAGCAUUCAGAGACAGAGCAGCGUAGAAGGAGCAAGAUUAAUGAGAGGUU
rnacentral:misc_RNA from 1 species